rnacentral:rRNA from 1 species
AUUGAACGCUGGCGGCAGGCCUAACACAUGCAAGUCGAACGAGUGGCGGACGGGUGGGUAAUGUCUGAGAAACUGCCUGAGGGAGGGGGAUGACUAAUGGAAACUGUAGCUAAUAGCGCAUACCAUCGGAUGUGCCCAGAUGGGAUUAGCUAGUAGGUGGGGUAAAGGCUCACCUAGGCGACGAUCCCUAGCUGGUCUGAGAGGAAGACCAGCCACACUGGAACUGAGACACGGGCCAGACUCCUACGGGAGGCAGCAGUGGGGAAUAUUGCACAAUGGGCGCAAGCCUGAUGCAGCCAUGCCGCGUGUGUGAAGAAGGCCUUCGGGUUGUAAAGCACUUUCAGCUGGGAGGCGUUACUCGCAGAAGAAGCACCGGCUAACUCCGUGCCAGCAGCCGCGGUAAUAC